AACGAACGCUGGCGGCAGGCUUAACACAUGCAAGUCGAGCGCUCUCCUUCGGGAGGAGCGGCGGACGGGUUAGUAACGCGUGGGAACAUACCCUUCUCUAAGGAAUAGCCUCGGGAAACUGAGAGUAAUACCUUAUACGCCCUUCGGGGGAAAGAUUUAUCGGAGAGGGAUUGGCCCGCGUUAGAUUAGAUAGUUGGUGGGGUAAACGGCCUACCAAGUCUACGAUCUAUAGCUGGGUUUUAGAGGAUGAUCAGCAACACUGGGACUGAGACACGGCCCAGACUCCUACGGGAGGCAGCAGUGGGGAAUCUUGGACAAUGGGCGCAAGCCUGAUCCAGCCAUGCCGCGUGAGUGAUGAAGGCCUUAGGGUCGUAAAGCUCUUUUCGCCAGAGAUGAUAAUGACAGUAUCUGGUAAAGAAGUCCCGGCUAACUACGUG
rnacentral:rRNA from 1 species